rnacentral:lncRNA from 1 species
CUUGAUCUGUUGCUAUUAUUGCAUAUGUGCUUGUUGACCUGGGCUUGUGCAUGUUGGAAUUGUGAGGGGGACGAAGUUGGAGGCCUUAACUGCACUUGGAGUUGCGAUUAUGGCCCCAUCGCACUUGAAAGUGCGGUUGAGAGGGGGUCGCAGUUGGUGAUGCGGCUGAUGGGAGCCGCACUUGGAAGUUCGGUUGAGAGGAAUGUCGCAGUUGGAGAUGCGAUUGAUGGAGCCGCACUUGGAAGUGCGGUUGUCGCUCGCCGCACUUGGAAUUGUUCGGCCGCAAUUGGAAUUGACGUUUAGGUUUUUUUUAUUGCUUUUUUUUUUUUUUUUGCUUUAUUAUAUUUAAUUAAAUUUUUAUUUGAUUUGUUUUAAAUUUAGAAUUUGUAUUUGUAGAUAUUGU